rnacentral:rRNA from 1 species
UACGGGGGGGCAAGCGUUGUUCGGAAUUACUGGGCGUAAAGGGCUCGUAGGUUGCCAACUAAGUCAGACGUGAAAUCCCUCGGCUUAACCGGGGAACUGCGUCUGAUACUGGAUGGCUUGAGUUUGGGAGAGGGAUGCGGAAUUCCAGGUGUAGCGGUGAAAUGCGUAGAUAUCUGGAGGAACACCGGUGGCGAAGGCGGCAUCCUGGACCGAAAUUGACGCUGAGGCGCGAAAGCUAGGGGAGCAAACGGG